CUUGUCUUGUGCCAAUAAAAUUUAGGACAUGGAAACAUACAAGGAGUUUAGGAGUGGAGGUUUAAUAGGCAGAAGAAAGAGAAAGAACAGCUGAGAGGGGCUUCCUAAAGGAAAAGACUAGCCAGCAGCGGAUGCUCCGGAUUUUGCAGAAAGGCUUGAGGAGGCAGUGUCUGAUUUACCUAUAGCCCACGGAUUGCAGGUGUGAUGUUUACAUAGCAUGCGGGGAAGGAUGGCCACCCAAUCCUAAUCUUAUUAUGCAAAUGAGCUUUCCACUCGACUAGCGCCAUCUUGUCUGCUUCUUACUAUACACGUGGCUGACAAACAGAAGGGAAGAUGGAACCGCCAUUUUGGACGUGAUUGGCACAAGUACUGGCAUCCAUGCCUGCAGCUCGAUUUUACAGACUGCUCUUCAUUAGAAAGGAAAGUUAUUUGGGGCUGCGUUUCAUUAAAAGGAAAACCUUGCCAACGACUUCUGUACCCUCACUAUCUGCGUCUCUUGGCCACAAUGUAUCCUUUCGCAUCCCUCAUCCAGAUAAAGACCACACUGUGUAACAGGUGGAUUGACUCCAGGUGCUCAGAGGGAGGAGGCAGCACUACCAGGAGAAAAGGAUAGUCAUGAUCACCAAAGAGCAUUCACC